CCAGUAGACUGAGCACGUGGCUUCUAAGUGCGAAUAUAUAAAGCGACGGUAAGAGCUAUUGUCACCACAAGACUCGCCGUCUUCGUCGCAUCUGCUUUGUUUACAUCCAUUAUAGAGCGCUCUAGUCGAGGACAUGGACGGCUUGCUUGGAAAGUACCUCCUCUUGCUGGUUGCUGCCGCACUCGUUACGCUGAUUAUUGUUCCACACGAAGCUGGCGCAAUUCCACCGAUGGCCUUCGAGCUCAUCCGACAGGGCCCUGUUGGACGAAAUGAAGAAAAUGCCAAGUACUGACACAUCAGUCUUCGUGAUACAGUGCGGUCAGUCUGUGCUGCAUUGACAAUGCCUGCUUCAUAUUCAAUAAAAUGAAUAAAGCAAGAAAUG
rnacentral:lncRNA from 1 species